rnacentral:rRNA from 1 species
UCGAGAAUUUUUCUCAAUGGGGGAAACCCUGAAGGAGCGACGCCGCGUGGAGGAUGAAGGUCUUCGGGUUGUAAACUCCUGUCAUUUGGGAACAAGUGGCCGAACGUAACUGCUUCGGCCUUGAUAGUACCAGAAGAGGAAGAGACGGCUAACUCUGUGCCAGCAGCCGCGGUAAUACAGAGGUCUCAAGCGUUGUUCGGAUUCAUUGGGCGUAAAGGGUGCGUAGGUGGCGUCGUAAGUCGGGUGUGAAAUUUCGGAGCUUAACUCCGAAACUGCAUUCGAUACUGCGGUGCUUGAGGACUGGAGAGGAGACUGGAAUUUACGGUGUAGCAGUGAAAUGCGUAGAGAUCGUAAGGAAGACCAGUGGCGAAGGCGGGUCUCUGGACAGUUCCUGACACUGAGGCACGAAGGCCAGGGGAGCAAACGGGAUUAGAUACCCCCGUAGUCC